CCAAGGCGACGAUGCCUAGGGGUUCUGAGAGGAUGAUCCCCCACACUGGGACUGAGACACGGCCCAGACUCCUACGGGAGGCAGCAGUGAGGAAUAUUGGUCAAUGGGCGCAAGCCUGAACCAGCCAUCCCGCGUGCAGGAUGACGGCCCUAUGGGUUGUAAACUGCUUUUGUUUGCCAAGAAUGUUACCUACGUGUAGGUAUUUGACGGUAGCAAAUGAAUAAGGACCGGCUAACUCCGUGCCAGCAGCCGCGGUAAUACGGAGGGUCCAAGCGUUAUCCGGAUUUAUUGGGUUUAAAGGGUGCGCAGGCGGAACUUUAAGUCAGUGGUGAAAUCUUGCCGCUUAACGGUAAAAUUGCCAUUGAUACUGAAGUUCUUGAAUGUAGUUGAGGUAGGCGGAAUGUGUUGUGUAGCGGUGAAAUGCAUAGAUAUGACACAGAACGCCAAUUGCGAAGGCAGCUUACUAAGCUACGAUUGACGCUGAGGCACGAAAGCGUGGGGAGCGAACAGGAUUAGAUACCCUGGUAGUCCACGCCGUAAACGAUGAUCACUCGCUGUUUGCGAUACACAGUAAGCGGCUGAGCGAAAGCAUUAAGUGAUCCACCUGGGGAGUACGAUCGCAAGGUUGAAACUCAAAGGAAUUGACGGGGGCCCGCACAAGCGGAGGAACAUGUGGUUUAAUUCGAUGAUACGCGAGGAACCUUACCUGGGCUUAAAUGUAGAUUGCAUAGAUUGGAAACAGUCUUUCUCUUCGGAGCUAUUUACAAGGUGCUGCAUGGUUGUCGUCAGCUCGUGCCGUGAGGUGUCGGGUUAAGUCCCAUAACGAGCGCAACCCCUAUCGUUAGUUGCUAGCAGAUAAUGCUGAGGACUCUAGCGAGACUGCCACCGUAAGGUGAGAGGAAGGUGGGGAUGACGUCAAAUCAGCACGGCCCUUAUGUCCAGGGCUACACACGUGUUACAAUGGUCGGUACAAAGGGCAGCUACACAGCGAUGUGAUGCCAAUCCCUAAAGCCGAUCCCAGUUCGGAUUGGAGUCUGCAACCCGACUCCAUGAAGUUGGAUUCGCUAGUAAUCGGAUAUCAGCCAUGAUCCGGUGAAUACGUUCCCGGGCCUUGUACACACCGCCCGUCAAACCAUGGAAGCUGGGGGUACCUGAAGUA
rnacentral:rRNA from 1 species